CUUUUUGGCUGUGAGGGCUGGGUGGGGGAGGCAUAGGAGCAGGUUUAGAGCCAAGUAUUUCUGGGUUUUUCUCUACAGAGUCUUCUCUUUCUUGUCAACCCUUUCAUUGUUUGAAUGCAGUUGCUGCUUUUCUUUUCUUGGUGACCCAGGUAAUAUGGCUCCAUUAUUUGAAAUUCUCCAGUGGCUCCCGCUGUCUUUGAGAGUGAAAGCCGAAGACCUUACAGUGGCUCCCUAGGCCCACAAGGAUCUGCCUCCAUCCUCACUCCCGUUACCUCCCUGACCCUGUUCCGUUCUGUCCUCCUUGCUCAUUCUGCUGAGGCCAGCUGGCGUCCUUGUUAUUCCUCAAGCACAUCAGGUCCAGGUUCAUUGUCUGCUGUGGCUGAUGUGGAAGGUUUGAAAUAUGACAGUAUGCCUGACUGCUUAGCCUCUGUAACGACUCACUGCAAAACAAAUGCAGGACGCUAUUUUCACCUUUUUUCGUAAAAGUGAAAAUCCUCUUCGGAUUUCUUCAGUGAAGACAGGUACUACUGUAGGUCAUUUGUAAAAGCGAAGUGGUGUGAAGCCAGCUUUUGGAUAGUGGGGCAAACCUGUAUAUAAAAAAAAUCAAUUUGCUAGACUUUUUCUUAGCUACUUAGGCUACUGAAAUGCAAAUAUAGGUAAUCAACACAGCUUCAUUUAACAUACUUUAGCAAGUGGGAAAGUGCUGGAAACCCACUGAUCUGCUUCUUCAGAUUGGCCAUUACCAAUAUAACAGUAAGUGAACAGGUACCAUAACACUACUGUUGUGGGAAAUGAGCAAAGGCUUCUGCGAUGGGCUGAGUCCCAGGGCUCUGUUCUUCGGACUUCUCCAGUCUAAGUCCUAUUCCAAAACCAUUUGCUCUGACUCUGAGAAAGCAUUUCUUUGAUCAAAGUAGAAACUGAUCAGUCAACAGUAGUAUUGGAGAAAGAUUGUUUAACUAAGGCAUAACCUAAAUGCUGGAGCAAUCUGGUGAGCAAGGAAAAGGAGUGUUGCAACCUCCCUUUGGAAUAGAGAUCACCUGUUCUGGCUAAUACAUGCUUGGCUUAAAAAAUCACUUGUGCCAUCAAGGGCAGAGGCUUUUCCAACAUAAUGAGAUUUUCUUCUCAGGUACCUCUUACAUUUGGAAAAAUCAAAAAUGUAGGAGAGACUGCUGUGAAAUCUUUUCACUGUAUUUGCAAUUUUGCUUGGUCUUCCUUCCAGUACUACAGUGAAUUUUGGAUACCACCAUUUGAAUGUUAUAUUGAAAACUAUGGGUCUGUAGAAAAACUAUCAUUAAAAUUGCAAAUUGGGAUUUGAGAAUAUAGAAUAUAGAUGUUAAAUGAAACUGAGAUUUAAUGUUGAGAAGAGAAAAAUGACUUUGAAGUCCUGAGUUAGGGAUUCAGUAAAUACAGAGGCCUCCUGAGUUCCAGGGCCCAUGUGUGGUUGGUGCAGAACGUACAACCUCCUAUUGUCUCAGAGCUUUUCUACAUUGUUGUUGCAGUGAUUGAAGAGGAGUUACCUCGUAGUAGAUCCAAUUUGCCUUUUAAUAGCUGUGAGAACUUGGCC
ensembl:lncRNA